ACCUGUUGAUCCUGCCAGUAGUCAUAUGCUUGUCUCAAAGAUUAAGCCAUGCAUGUCUAAGUAUAAGCAACUAUACUGUGAAACUGCGAAUGGCUCAUUUAAAUCAGUUAUGGUUUAUUUGAUGGUACCUUACUACUUGGAUAACCGUAGUAAUUCUAGAGCUAAUACAUGCAGGAAUGCCCGUCAGGGCUGUAUUUAUUAGAUAAGAAACCAAUCCAGCUUGCUGGUUGAGUGCUGAGUCACAAUAACUGCUCGAAUCGCAUGACUUUUCGUCGGCGAUGGUUCAUUCAAAUUUCUGCCCUAUCAGCUUUCGAUGGUAGGAUAGAGGCCUACCAUGGCGUUAACGGGUAACGGAGAAUUAGGGUUCGAUUCCGGAGAGGGAGCCUGAGAAAUGGCUACCACAUCCAAGGAAGGCAGCAGGCGCGUAAAUGCCCGAAUCCUACACAGGGAGGUUAGUGACAAGAAAUACAAUACAGGGCUCUUUCGAGUUGUAAUGGAAUGAGUCAAUUCUCUCACGAGACAAUGAGCAGUUG
rnacentral:rRNA from 1 species